GACGAACGCUGGCGGCGUGCUUAACACAUGCAAGUCGAACGGAAAGGCCCCCUUUUGGGGUUAUCGAGUGGCGAACGGGUGAGUAACACGUGAGUAACCUACCCUUGACUUUGGGAUAACUUCAGGAAACUGGGGCUAAUACCGGAUAGGAGCUCCUGCUGCAUGGUGGGGGUUGGAAAGUUUCGGCGGUUGGGGAUGGACUCGCGGCUUAGCAGCUUGUUGGUGGGGUAGUGGCUCACCAAGGCUUUGACGGGUAGCCGGCCUGGGAGGGUGACCGGCCACAUUGGGACUGGGAUACGGCCAGGACUCCUACGGGAGGCAGCAGUGGGGAAUAUUGCACAAUGGGCGGAAGCCUGAUGCAGCAACGCCGCGUGCGGGAUGACGGCCUUCGGGUGUUAACCCGCUUUCGCCUGUGACGAAGCGUGAGCGACGGUAAUGGGUAAAGAAGCACCGGCUAACUACGUG
rnacentral:rRNA from 1 species